AACGAACGCUGGCGGCAUGCCUAACACAUGCAAGUCGAACGAGACCUUCGGGUCUAGUGGCGCACGGGUGCGUAACGCGUGGGAACCUGCCCUUAGGUUCGGAAUAACUCCCCGAAAGGGGUGCUAAUACCGGAUAAUGUCUUCGGACCAAAGAUUUAUCGCCUUUGGAUGGGCCCGCGUUGGAUUAGCUAGUUGGUAGGGUAAAAGCCUACCAAGGCGACGUUGCAUAGCUGGUCUGAGAGGAUGAUCAGCCACACUGGGACUGAGACACGGCCCAGACUCCUACGGGAGGGAGCAGUGGGGAAUAUUGGACAAUGGGCGAAAGCCUGAUACAGCAAUGCCGCGUGAGUGAUGAAGGCCUUAGGGUUGUAAAGCUCUUUUACCCGGGAUGAUAAUGACAGUACCGGGAGAAUAAGCUCCGGCUAACUCCGUG
rnacentral:rRNA from 1 species